CUACAAUGUCUAUAAAUUACCCGGUCUCGCAGAUUUACAUUAGACAGACAGGAAAGAAGCUCAACGUCAGGCAAAAGUUAAUUCUAAGAUCAUAAACAUUUGAGACUCAGCAACUAUUACAGGACCAUACUCAAAAUACUGCACAAAUUGUCCAAAUUAGGGAUCAAUAGUGACCUUGUGUACUUGGGUUCUGGUACGGACCCUGCUUUGAGUAAACGUUCUCAUAUGCAGCUUGCUGAGAAUUCAAGUCAUAAUAGGGGUUCUGAGAAGGAUUCAUGUUUGAAUAUGCACUGUUGCGUGUUGUCACACAUGUCCUAUCCACCUGGGUCAAUGGCCCACUCAUCCUCAUCCACGUGGCAUUCCUGUCGAGGUGGGUUAUUUCUGAAGUGCUUCAAGCCGAGGUCCAUCCGCCGAGGCUCCUCGAUCCGAUGUCCGCGGGUUUGCCGAAGUCCAACUACCGAGGCUCAUGACCCGAAGCAUGGAACCUGUUGAAUGUAGCUGAGGUCCUCAAGUGGAAGUAUUUGUCAAAUGGUCGAAACCCCGAAACUGAUGCACAAGCCUCUUAACCACAAGGAACUACCUCCACAGUCACUUCUCCCAAGAGAUCGCCUGCUCAGAGAUCUUAUUCGAAUGAUUGAUGAAACGUUUGUCACAAACAUAAAGGUCAAGUCUUGUCACUAGUAUGGAGGACCUGCGUAAGCAAUAAAUGCGCCGUAAGCUAGCAAGUCAAGUCCCAUACCUAAGAAAAGACGUUUGAACUAAAGAGAUGAGUCCACGUGCCACUUCAUCCAAGGGCUCACAUUUCAUAUGUGUCACUAUAAAUACUUCCAUUGUGUAAUGUCAAAGGCUAAUGCAAGAAUCAAUACUAAAGACUACAUUUCCUCAACUCUCUCUUAUUUUACUUGCAAUACACAAAUCGAGUUUAUACACUUUUACAUGUACAUUUACGAGCACCGGUUGGUAAUUAUUGUACAAUCGGAUUACGAAUAACCCACCGAAUUCCGAACGUCACCGUCCCGCGUCGUUGGGUUACUCCCACGCCCUUUUGAACCGCUCGUUUUAGACCGUUCACGUGUCUUAGCGUGUUGGACAUUCUCCCACGCAAGCGCGGGUGGGACCGGCAUCUGUUGGCGCACUUUUUGGGGUCAACAUGCACCAUGCUGAGAAUUAUAGCUCUGAUACACACCUUGGUGAGAACCGUUAUUGGGUCUGGUAGAAGCAGCAAAUGACGGAAAU
rnacentral:lncRNA from 1 species